rnacentral:rRNA from 1 species
UACGAAGGGGGGCUAGCGUUGCUCGGAAUUACUGGGCGUAAAGCGCACGUAGGCGGCUUUCUAAGUCGGGGGUGAAAUCCUGGAGCUCAACUCCAGAACUGCCUUCGAUACUGGAGAGCUUGAGUCCGGGGAGAGGUGAGUGGAACUGCGAGUGUAGAGGUGAAAUUCGUAGAUAUUGCAAGAACACCAGUGGCGAAGGCGGCUCACUGGCCCGGUACUGACGCUGAGGUGCGAAAGCGUGGGGAGCAAACAAG